UNGAUGAAUCAUGGGCCUGACCCAACUGAGC
rnacentral:piRNA from 1 species